ACAAGGAUUCCCCUAGUAACUGCGAGUGAAGCGGGAAAAGCUCAAAUUUAAAAUCUGGCAGUGGUUCACUGCCCGAGUUGUAAUCUAGAGAAGUGUUGCUCACACUGGACCAUGUAUAAGUCUUCUGGAAUGAAGCGUCAUAGAGGGUGAGAAUCCCGUCUUUGACAUGGACUCCCAGUGUAUUUGUAGCAUGCUCUCAAAGAGUCGAGUUGUUUGGGAAUGCAGCUCUAAAUGGGUGGUAACCUCCAUCUAAAGCUAAAUAUUGGCGAGAGACCGAUAGUGAACAAGUACCGUGAGGGAAAGAUGAAAAGAACUUUGGAAAGAGAGUUAAAAAGUACGUGAAAUUGUUGAAAGGGAAACGCUUGAAGUCAGUCACAUUGGCCAGGGAUCAACUUGCUUAAGUGUACUUCCUGGCUGAUGGGCCAACAUCAGCUUUGACUGUCAGAGAAGGGUAGGGGGAAUGUGGCACCCUUCUUGGGUGUGUUAUAGCCCUCUGUCAUAUAUGGCCGUUGGGGCUGAGGAAUGCAGCGCGCCACAAGGCCGGGCUUCGACCACGUUCGCGCUUAGGAUGUUGGCAUAAUGGCUUUAAUCGACCCGUCUUGAAACACGGACCAAGGAGUCUAACAUGCCUGCGAGUGUUUGGGUGGAAAACCCGAGUGCAUAAUGAAAGUGAAAGUUGAGAUCCCUGUCAUGGGGUGCAUCGACGCCCGGACCUGAGCUUUCUAGCAAUGGCUCUGCGGUAUAGCAUGUAUGUUGGGACCCGAAAGAUGGUGAACUAUGCCUGAAUAGGGCGAAGCCAGAGGAAACUCUGGUGGAGGCUCGUAGCGAUUCUGACGUGCAAAUCGAUCGUCGAAUUUGGGUAUAGGGG
rnacentral:rRNA from 1 species